rnacentral:rRNA from 1 species
GACGAACGCUGGCGGCGUGCUUAACACAUGCAAGUCGAACGGAAAGGCCCUGCUUUUGUGGGGUGCUCGAGUGGCGAACGGGUGAGUAACACGUGAGUAACCUGCCCUUGACUUUGGGAUAACUUCAGGAAACUGGGGCUAAUACCGGAUAGGAGCUCCUGCUGCAUGGUGGGGGUUGGAAAGUUUCGGCGGUUGGGGAUGGACUCGCGGCUUAUCAGCUUGUUGGUGGGGUAGUGGCUUACCAAGGCUUUGACGGGUAGCCGGCCUGAGAGGGUGACCGGCCACAUUGGGACUGAGAUACGGACCAGACUCCUACGGGAGGCAGCAGUAGGGAAUAUUGCACAAUGGGCGGAAGCCUGAUGCAGCAACGCCGCGUGCGGGAUGACGGCCUUCGGGUUGUAAACCGCUUUCGCCUGUGACGAAGCGUGAGUGACGGUAAUGGGUAAAGAAGCACCGGCUAACUACGUG